rnacentral:rRNA from 1 species
GUGGGGAAUCUUGCGCAAUGGGCGAAAGCCUGACGCAGCCAUGCCGCGUGAAUGAUGAAGGUCUUAGGAUUGUAAAAUUCUUUCACCGGGGACGAUAAUGACGGUACCCGGAGAAGAAGCCCCGGCUAACUUCGUGCCAGCAGCCGCGGUAAUACGAAGGGGGCUAGCGUUGCUCGGAAUUACUGGGCGUAAAGGGCGCGUAGGCGGACAGUUUAGUCAGAGGUGAAAGCCCAGGGCUCAACCUUGGAAUUGCCUUUGAUACUGGCUGUCUUGAGUACGGGAGAGGUGAGUGGAACUCCGAGUGUAGAGGUGAAAUUCGUAGAUAUUCGGAAGAACACCAGUGGCGAAGGCGACAUACUGGCUCAUUACUGACGCUGAGGCUCGAAAGCGUGGGGAGCAAACAGGAUUAGAUACCCGUGUAGUCC